rnacentral:lncRNA from 1 species
GUGGAAGAAGUGCAGAAGUUAUUUUUUGUUUGACAAAAAUAGGGAUGGUUCAAUUCAUUCUAGAAUCAAUAUUUUCUUUUCCUAGAAGAACACAGUAGGGACAAUCAAUCGCUGCAUCCUUGAUGCUCUUGGGAUUUUUUUUUAUCUUUUUUGGGGCACUCUUGACCAACCAUGACAAAAAGACAGACAGCUAGAAAAAAAAAAAAGAGAGAAAUGCCCAAGCAUUUCGUUCAGUUUGCUUCUAAAAUCCCAUCAGCUAAUCUCUGCAGUUGUAUAGAGCCCAUGUGCCACUCCUAGAAUUCUUUGAGAACAGGAAGGCAGAAGAAUGGAAUUUGAGAGAUCUACAGAGAGAGAAUUAAUCACUUUUCUGAACUUUAAGAGUAUUUUUGGUUGUUUUUAAGUAUAAUUUUGAUUAAUAUUUUCCAUAACAUGGAAAACUUGUAACAAGCACGGCUGCGAAAAGAUACCAAAUUGAAAAUAUCUAUUAUUAAUAAAUACCAUCAGUACCAUCACUCUUAAAAAGCACACCUCUCUUGCAAACUACUGUCAGCUAUUUUGACUGUAAUUCAGACAUUUCAAUUUUGGGUAAUAGUGAGGAAUAUCAGCAGGUAUAUCAGUGAUAUAAAACCAUUUGUCACCUUCAUCCCAGCCCAGCAAAAGAACAGGGUAAUUGCACCCAGCUGGCACCAAUGAAGGAGGAGAAAACAACUUCUCUCAGCAGUGGGUCUCCCCUUAGACCUAGCCUUCUUUGAUGAAACAUCUCCCAAGAAGCAAGUCCCCAGAAGAUGCUUUUGGGCUUAUACCUCUUUCUGGAAACUGUGUGUAAACCUGCUAGCUUGAAGAGGCUCCUGUCUUCUCUUCUUUCUGGUACAGAGCUGAACCAGCUUCUCAAGGCUGAUUUUCUUCAGAGGAAUGGCAGCCAUAAACUCAGUGGAGUUUCCAUAGGACUGUGACCUAGAGAAAACCAGAUUCCAAGCAAUGCAUCAAAAAGGAGCACACUGCUGACCCCAAACUGAUAGUGCUGGCUUCCAAGUUGCUCGGAGAAUGGCUGUUCCUUAGCAAAUUAGAAGUGAUAAAUUUAGGGCAAGCUUAAAGGGAACAGAGUAUUAAUACAGGAGUUAGGGCACUGUGUAAGCUCUUCUACUGCUACCGAAGUGUGGCUCAGCCCACUUCUCCUGGCUUUUCUAUUCACAUGUCAGUCUGUCACUUGCCUAUUUACUUUGGUUUCUAUUGGAAUUCAAAAUCAGUGCUCAGGUCAGAGCUCUAAUGGGCAGGUAUGAAUCAGUAGCGCUUCAGUGAAAUCUUCAAUCAUUCCAAAUUGUAAGAGAUCAGAUCUACACAACUCUGAUCAGAAAGGAAACAACUCUAAUCCUCCUCUUCACUCACACUCUGCUCCCUCCCAGUUGUUGCAAGCUUAACAGCAUUUGCUGCCACAGAUCUGAGAGUACUUUUAUUACUCUUCUCUGGUUAAA